AUUGAACGCUGGCGGCAUGCUUUACACAUGCAAGUCGAACGGUAACAGGUUAAGCUGACGAGUGGCGAACGGGUGAGUAAUGCAUCGGAACGUGCCCGAUCGUGGGGGAUAACGCAGCGAAAGCUGCGCCAAUACCGCAUACGCUCUGUGGAUGAAAGCGGGGGACCGUAAGGCCUCGCGCGAUGGGAGCGGCCGAUGUCAGAGUAGGUAGUUGGUGGGGUAAAGGCCUACCAAGCCGACGAUCUGUAGCUGGUCUGAGAGGACGACCAGCCACACUGGGACUGAGACACGGCCCAGACUCCUACGGGAGGCAGCAGUGGGGAAUUUUGGACAAUGGGCGCAAGCCUGAUCCAGCAAUGCCGCGUGCAGGAUGAAGGCCUUCGGGUUGUAAACUGCUUUUGUACGGAACGAAACGGCUCUUUCUAAUAAAGAGGGCUAAUGACGGUACCGUAAGAAUAAGCACCGGCUAACUACGUGCCAGCCGCCGCAGUAA
rnacentral:rRNA from 1 species